AUUGAACGCUGGCGGCAUGCCUAACACAUGCAAGUCGAACGGCAGCACAGCAGUAGCAAUACUGUGGGUGGCGAGUGGCGGACGGGUGAGGAAUACGUCGGAAUCUGCCCAGUCGUGGGGGAUAACUAGCCGAAAGGUUAGCUAAUACCGCAUACGACCGAGAGGUGAAAGCGGGGGGACCGCAAGGCCUCGCGCGAUUGGAUGAGCCGACGUCGGAUUAGCUAGUUGGCGGGGUAAAGGCCCACCAAGGCGACGAUCCGUAGCUGGUCUGAGAGGAUGAUCAGCCACACUGGAACUGAGACACGGUCCAGACUCCUACGGGAGGCAGCAGUGGGGAAUAUUGGACAAUGGGCGCAAGCCUGAUCCAGCAAUGCCGCGUGAGUGAAGAAGGCCUUAGGGUUGUAAAGCUCUUUCGCCUGCGACGAUGAUGACGGUAGCAGGAGAAGAAGCCCCGGCUAAUUCCGUGCCAGCAGCCGCGGUAAU
rnacentral:rRNA from 1 species